CUGACUCCAUUCUCCGACCGUUGAGGAAAGAGCGCUUUUAUUAGACCAAGACCAAUCGGACUUGUCCGUUUCCUUUGGUGACUCUGAAUAACCUUUUGAAGAUCGCACGGUCUCGAACCGGCGACGCGUCUUUCAAAUGUCUGCCUUAUCAACUGUCGAUGGUAGGUUAUGUGCCUACCAUGGUUGUAACGGGUAACGGAGAAUCAGGGUUCGACUCCGGAGAGGGAGCCUGAGAAACGGCUGCCACAUCCAAGGAAGGCAGCAGGCACGCAAAUUACCCACUCCCGGCACGGGGAGGUAGUGACGAAAAAUAACGAUGCGGGACUCUUCCGAGGCCCCGUAAUCGGAAUGAGUACACUUUAAAUCCUUUAACGAGGAUCAAUUGGAGGGCAAGUCUGGUGCCAGCAGCUGCGGUAAUUCCAGUUCCAAUAGCGUAUACUAAAGUUGUUGCGGCUAAAAAGCUCGUAGUUGGAUUUCAGUCGUAGGCCGGUGGUCCACCGCCCGGUGGCUACUGCCUGGCCUAGGCACCUUGCCGGCUCUCCUGCGAUGCUCUUGAUUGGGUGUCGUGGGUGGCCGGGACGUUUACUUUGAAAAAAUUAGAGUGCUCCAAGCAGGCGUUACGGCCUGAAUAACACAGCAUGGAAUAAUGGAACAGGACCUUGGUUCUGUUUUGUUGGUCUUUGGAAGCCGAGGUA
rnacentral:rRNA from 1 species